CUCUCUAAUUGUGGAAGAGACAAUUCAUUCAGAUUCACUGCCAUGUUGACAAUUUAAUGUGAGAGAAGCUUCCGAGUCAACCGGAAAUAGAUGCAAGGACUUUUAUCAAUGAAAUAACGCUUUUCCUGAAUAUAGAUGCAGAUGACUUUCUUUCUACUGCUAAACACAAACGAAGAUUUUUAGAAGAAUAUCUCAGCUCUGUUGGGCCUUUUAAAGCAAGUGAAUGGUGGCCAGAACUUUGAAGCUCCAAAAAGCACAUAAAGGCACCAUAAAAUACAAAACUUCAGAAGCAAUAUGAUGGGUGUGGAUGUGCACAUUACCAUCCUGCGGUCAGAUAGCUAAGGAUGAUCCCUGUUCCCUCCUGGUGGCCAAGUACACUGAGAGCAGCACUGCUGCAGCCGAACAAGAGAGCCACGGCCCGCAAAGACCCU